ACUUCAAUAAAGUACAACCGAACUCAGUUUUGCUCCCACUGCCUUUUUAAUGUUUUAAGCUAGCGUAAGUUUUACCAUGCCUGCGCCCAAUAAUGCGGUGCGCCUUAUGUAUGCGUUAAAUACAGAAAUAGACCCCGUAACUCAGACUGCACGUUUUAAUAUGGUGUGCCCUAUGGUUGUAAAAAUACAGUAAUGGACAUCUGAAAAGUCAUUUACAAAAGCCAUUUGUAAAGCUUUAGGAUUCCAGCAAACCAGCGCUAUUAUCCUCACAUGGAGAAAACAUGGAACAGUGGUGAACCUUCCCAGGAGUGGUCGUCCUACAAUUAGACCCCAAAAGACCAGCUAUGACUCAUCUAGGAGGCCACAAAGGAACUGAGGACAAUUUCUGAGGAACUGCAGGCCUCCCUUGCCUCAGUUAAGCAGACCUCUAAGCCAUCCGACGUCUCUUUGUGAGCUCUGAAACUACGAGGCUUCCCUCUUUCUUGUCGCCAAGCAGGAAAACUGUAAAAACGCAGUCGGCUGUCGAUUCUUUUUCCCUUUGCCAUCAUGUGACGAAGUGCUCCACCAGGUAUGCAGGCAGGCAGAAAGACAGACACACACAGUCCACCCAAAACAUGUUACAAUUAUAAAAGUCUAUAGACUAAUAAUAAUAUUAAUAAUAACGGACAAAAGAUUAUCACACUGUCUGCUGAAUAAAAAGGCAGUUGAUUGAACAGCUGCACUUUCAACAUACAGUAUGUACUAAUGCUGAGUAGUAGAUCUUUGUGUCUUCACACUGAGGCAUGUGUGUGUCUGGAAAGUACCUGCUGUAGCAUGCUUGCAGUGAACUGCAUGGCCUGAUGGUGCUGCUGCUCCAGCAUAUCCAUGUGGAGGUCAUCGAGGAAGUCAUUCCUGUCGUCAUCCAUCCAGCCCUCGUCCAGCUGAGUCACAGUAGGGAGAAGAACCCAUGUAAAGGAUGGGAACACGAAUGAAGACUGCUGUAGGACAUGAAGAGUGAUCCAACCCAGGAUUAUUGGCAUUGAAGAUGCAACCAACCCAAUCCAAGAUGAGGCACAACUAAGUAAGCGACAUUCCUGUUCCACCAUCUGCAGGUAUUAGCAGUCAGUUGUGAAUGCAGGAGUGGCAGGAUUUUAGACCUCCAAUAUUAGUGCUCAAAAUCCAUUUAUUAUACUUCUGCCACUUCUUCUUUGAGACUUCAUGAAAAGUUAAGUUCCCUUUUCCCGCAGCAGAUCAAAGGCUUAACUAUUUGCAGACACAGCACAGGACCCCUGUUCUCAAUCCCAGCUCUGAUAUUAGCGCGAGAACUUGAUCAUUACAUUCAUUUUAGGAAUUCUCUCCUGGGACAUAAAUAGGGAUGCAUUUUGGUGUGAUAACAGUUGAUUGGAGUCCAUUAUGGAUGAAAAGAGAGGGGAAAAACUGAUUUGAGAGUGUGCAGUGCAAAACUAGGAAACCGAGCCACACAACCAGGUCUCUCAGUCAUAUGUUGCACUGCCAAUACAAGUCUGUGUUUUCACUCAUUCUACCACAUUGGAACUUAAAAAUCAAAAACACUCUUGGAAAAAUAGACUAGCAUUGAAAAUGUCACAGAGCACUGCACAGAACAGAGAAAGCACUAAGCUGUUGGCUGUCAGUCAGUAAGAAUUUCUCCAUUUAGGAAUAGGGUAGAAUCUAACACCUAAAUUUGUCUAAUCACACUGUGUACAGCAGGGGUGUCUAAAGCCAGGUCAUCCUACUAAUUCUCAGCAGCAUAUACUAAAUUGAACUUUGCCUACAUUGUACUUUUUACAUUAGACACUGUAGAUUUGAGUGCAUGGAAGAAUGUUAUUGCAGUUGUAAAAGGCUGUAAUAUUCAAAGACACUAUGAACACGUGUUGAGAGGAUAGCAGAAAGUAAGGCAGAUGAGCUACAUUUUGCCAUACUGACAAAAUGUCACAAUCACUAGCAUUAGGUGUUUCUCAUGUUAUUGGUUAGGUGCAGGAAAGGAGAGUGACUUCAAAAGGAAUAACAUGAAUCAUGAAAAUACAAUAAUUGAACAAAUUUAGCUUGUUCGUACAACAACAUUUGAACCUUUAAUUCUUUUGAAUCACUUCCAAUGUAAAAUAAGAAGAGAUGACACGAACAACAAAAAUACUGUAGCUGUUUUUUUGCAAGGAGUUGACAAUAUUGCGUCCCAACAGACACACCGAGAUGCUGAUGCUUAAUUAGGUUGAUUGCCUGACCACAACAAUUACUGUCGGCCAUAACAUACACAACAACACACGUACUGUAUCUCUUUUUAGCGAGCCGCAGUCACUCCCAGUUUUUUCAUUUAACCUUUAUUUAGCCAGUAAAACCUCAUUGAGAAUAAAAAUCUCUUACAAGAGUGUGGUCAAAUGAAAAGUUGGAGGAAAUGUGUAUGUCACUGAGUCGAUCAACUUUAAAAUAAAUUGUGUGCUCAGCUUUGAAAUAAAAUCUGAACUGAAAAUUUUGUAAAAGUAUUGAUAUUAAUAUUUUCACUCUUGAUUACACUGUUUUAUUUUGGAUGUGUUCG